rnacentral:rRNA from 1 species
GAAAUGCGAUAAGUAAUGUGAAUUGCAGAAUUCAGUGAAUCAUCGAAUCUUUGAACGCACCUUGCGCUCCUUGGUAUUCCGAGGAGCACGCCUGUUUGAGUGUCGUGAAAUUCUCAACCCUUCCCCCUUUUACUAGGUGGGCUUGCGGUUUGGACUUGGAGGUUUUUUGCCGGCUUUUACUAGUCGGCUCCUCUUAAAUGUAUUAGUAGGACCUUUAGCUGAAGGGCCUCGGUGUGAUAAUUAUCUACGCCGUCGUGCUCCUUUGCUUUUAUAAUGGACCUGCUUCCAACCGUCCUCGCAAGGGACAAAUUUUCAAUAUCGAACCUUGACCUCAGAUCAGGCGGGACUACCCGCUGAACUUAA